UACCGGAGUCAUAUCACCCUGCAGCUCUCGCCUGGUUUCUCACUGAAGCUAAGCAGGGUUGAGUCUGGUCAGUACCUGGAUGGGAGACCACCUGUGGAAGAUUAAGGUUGCUGCUGGAA
rnacentral:rRNA from 1 species